rnacentral:rRNA from 1 species
GAUGAACGCUGGCUACAGGCUUAACACAUGCAAGUCGAGGGGAAACGACGGGGAAGCUUGCUUCCCCGGGCGUCGACCGGCGCACGGGUGAGUAACGCGUAUCCAACCUGCCUCUGACUGAGGGAUAACCCGUCGAAAGUCGGCCUAAUACCUCAUGGCAUCGUCUGCGGGCAUCCAACGACGAUUAAAGAUUUCAUCGGUCAGGGAUGGGGAUGCGUCUGAUUAGCUAGUUGGCGGGGUAACGGCCCACCAAGGCGACGAUCAGUAGGGGUUCUGAGAGGAAGGUCCCCCACAUUGGAACUGGGACACGGUCCAAACUCCUACGGGAGGCAGCAGUGAGGAAUAUUGGUCAAUGGGCGAGAGCCUGAACCAGCCAAGUAGCGUGCAGGAUGACGGCCCUAUGGGUUGUAAACUGCUUUUAUGCGGGGAGAAAGUGAGGGACGUGUCCUUCAUUGCAGGUACCGCAUGAAUAAGGACCGGCUAAUUCCGUG